GAGGGCCGGCGGGCACUCAGGGCUCAGACCCAGCUGCCUGCGAGCCCGGACCAGCUGCCAUCCCUGACGGCUUUGCUUUUCUCCUAGAUCAGUUUCAGUCACACUUAGGACUCACGAAAUAUGUUCUUUUUGGGGGUCAUUUUCUUUUCUUUCUUUCUUUCUUUCUUGUUUGUUUGUUUUGAGACAGGGUCUUGCUCUGUCACCCAGGUGCCCAGGCUGGAGUGUAGGGGCAAGAUCUUGGCUCACUACAGCCUCCUCCCACUGGACUCCAGCGAUCCCCUCAACUCAGCCUCCCCAGUAGUGGCCCUACAGGCAGCACCUGGCCACAUUCAUCAUGGACAAGAGCGAAGCCAUCUCGUCUGUGGACGACGCCAUACGGAAGCUGGUGCAGCUGAGCUCCAAGGAGAAGAUCUGGACACAGGAGAUGCUACUGCGGGUGGACAGCGAGUCCCUGAGGCUGCUGGACAUCGAGUCUCAGGUGGGGCCCCGUGCUCAGGGCGGGGAGCAUGGUGGGUGGAGGCAGCGGGGGGCGGGGGUGGAGGCAGCAGGGGGUG
rnacentral:lncRNA from 13 species